rnacentral:rRNA from 1 species
GAUGAACGCUAGCUACAGGCUUGACACAUGCAAGUCGAGGGGUAACGAGAGGAAAGCUUGCUUUCCUUGUCGACGACCGGCGCACGGGUGAGUAACGCGUAUCCAACCUGCCCCCAACUAGGGAAUAACCUUGCGAAAGUAAGACUAAUACCCUAUAAUUUCCUCAGAUGCCAUCUGACGAGGAAUAAAGAUUUAUCGGUUGUGGAUGGGGAUGCGGCUGAUUAGCGUGUUGGCGGGGUAACGGCCCACCAAGGCAACGAGCAGUAGGGGUUCUCAUGGGAAGGUCCCCCACAUUGGAGCUUACACACGGUCCAACCUCCUUCGGGAGGCAGCAGUGAGGACUAUUGGUCAAUGGGCGGAAGCCUGAACCAGCCAAGUAGCGUGCAGGAUGACGGCCCUAUGGGUUGUAAACUGCUUUUAUACAGGAAUAAAGUUAGCCACGUGUGGUUAUUUGUAGGUACUGUAUGAAUAAGGACCGGCUAAUUCCGUGCCAGCCGCCGCUGUAA